rnacentral:ncRNA from 12 species
GGAUGCCCGCGACGGGCAAAGCACCGGACAAUCGCCUUUGGCGGCCCUGCGGGCGGCCGUCCGGUGUGCCGCCCCGUAUGAUAAACUUAUCAUUUUAAAGUUUUUUC